rnacentral:lncRNA from 1 species
GAAUUUUUCAGCUCCAUUGUAAUCUUAUGGCACCACCAUCCCAUAGGCAAUCAAAAUGUCAUUAUGUGGUACACGACUUUAUUCAGCUCUAGGAACAUAUAUCUUAUAUGCAUAUAAUCUGGUAGCAGUGACAAUCCAUUAAAGGUUAUUGAAGAGGAAUAUGAUUCAAUGAGAGUCUUGUUUAUGAAAAAUUAUCUGGCUACAGUGCUUACAAGGAGAGGAUGGUGUGGAGAACUGAAAUUCCGCUAAGAACACCUUAGGAUUCCCUAUAGGGUAAAGUGAAGAUCUUCAACUGGGCGUUGUGGAUUUAGAUGUGUAUGAGAAAUCCAGAUUAUCCUACAGGGUAUUACAAAGCUCAGAAUGGUAAACUUUAAGUCACUGUAGCUAGUUCUGAUUUUUACAAUUGAAAUUACACUUGAUGCCACUAUUUUCCAUAAGUGAUGCUUCUGACAUUUUAUGCAAACUUCAGUUUAUAUAUAAAAUUGGAUGCUCUGAAUGCUUUGAUUAGCAUGGUCUUACCUGAGCUAGUUAAAACAUGAUUUUAAUAAGACCAAAGAUCAAGAUUUCCUUCAGAAGCCAACUCCAAGUGAAGUUGUCCUCCUCAUGCGAACUACAGCUUAAAUUCCGGACAUAACAGCUUAGCUUCCAGAUGACUGUACCUAAGCCUGAAUUCUAAGCAUUGUGCCUUUGUAAUAUUAAAUUUUCUAGCCUGUCUGUGCUAGGGCAUGAGGGUAAACAGGUUAAAAAUCUAUAUGCAAAUUUCAAGAAGAUGACACGUUUGAAAGAAAAAAAAAGGUAUUUGUAAAUUGGGCAAGUGAAAAAUAGUAAAAGUAUUUUCCACAAAUAUUAGUAAAAAGCUUUAGUCAACUGGGCAAGACAUCUUAACUUGUUCCAACUACCAGAAACACAAUUCAAAUCUAGGUAUUCUUCUAUAAACUAGUGAGUUCAGCAUUAUUAUACCUGACACAUG